ACAUACACAUAUUGUGGCUGUGUGACCUCUUUCGGUCAUGAAUUACCAUGGGAUUGCACCUAGAAAGUUACCCUCCCAGGCACAAGUCAGGGCAAGGUUGUUUGUGAAAGGCCAGCAGUCACCCAUGCAUACAGGCCUCUCCUCUCCACACCACUGAUGCUAUCCA